GCACUUGGGACAUGCCCGGCCAGCAGAAAGCAGCUCCAUAGGGGAGGAGAGCCACGGAGAAUCUCACAGCUGCAGUCUAAUAGUAACACAGAGGAAUGUGAGUCAACAUUCCAUGUCUUCCAGGAGGCCCCUGAUCUUCUCUGCCCAGGGACCACUCUUAUCUGACCCAGAGACAGCACAUAUCUUUCCUUAAAGAUCAGAUCAAUAAAAUAUUUUAUUUAUUCACUAAUUUAA
rnacentral:sRNA from 1 species